CUUUAUCUAUUUGCAAUGGCAGCUUUCGUACGACAUUUGUGUAUUGUCUUUUCUAUGUUGGUCACUACUCGUUUGUAUGUAUUUUUAGAGCCCUGACAGGCUGAUGAAGGAAGACUGAAGUCUUCUGAAAGCUAUCAUUACUAAGAAAUGAAGCUGGUGUUAUGACUUAUGAACAGUGAACAGUGUCCCAAAAUUUUAUUUCAGUGUGAAAAAUUGUUCUUGAAAAUUGGAGAUGAAAGUGGAAAAUUGAUUUCAGUUGGAUGUCAUUUCCCACCCAAAACUGGCAAAUUUUGGGACAUUGGUUUUGAACAAACUUAACAAUACAAUAUCACUGUCCCAGGCUCUAGCUGAAUAACAUCAACAUAUAACAUAAUGCUUUGUGUAAGCAUCUCGUACAACUGUGUUGCUGUGAUAAUGAAAUCAAAACACAUGCAUCCUGCAUCCAUGAAAGUGGAUAGUAAGUAGAAAGAAGCAUUUGUUGCCACAUGUAAGUGAUAAUUGUGCAAUUUCUUGGUAAUUUUAGUUUGUAUGAAAACGCGUAAGAUUUAGGUGAUUGAAACUAAACAUGGAAGAUAAUUUUUAGGUCAAUUUUUACUUUUUCUUUUUUAAUGUUGUUCUUGAUAUUCCACUUCACUCAAAACACACCAGUUCAUAAGUUAUUUCAGGGCUUUCACAAUAGCCAUGUCUUUGUGGUCAAUCAUCCUCAGAGCAGCCUGAGUCAAUUCCAUUCAUAACUUCCUUAGCCAUAUAUCUCUGAUCCUUUUUCAGGACAAGACAUGCACUACUACAUGUAUGCUGUGCCUGGCUCAAGAUUCCUAUAUGUAGCCAGGCUGCCCUACCGAGCGCGAUACAAUGAACUGAACUGAACUGAACUGAACCGACACUGGCAAAAUGAAUGCUUCCUUGAACAAAGCUAACCAAAGGUGCCAUCAACUGUCUUAAUCUGAACAGGAAGGAAGCCUAGUUUUCAACAUAGACAACAGCUUGUGUGAAGCUGUCACUUUCAGGGUGUGCACCACCCAGUGUUCAUUUGUUAACAUCAAUAAUGUGUGACCACGAAAGGAAACCCUUCUGAAGAUCGAAGAUCCUGCUCGCAGCUAUGCCUCAUUGCCUACCAUGGCCUCAUUGCCUCUUUGAGGUUUACCGUAGUGUUCUCCGUCUGAUUGUUAUGUGUUGAGGAUGAGCUGAAUGUUACUGAUAUUGAUACCUGAUAUCUAAUUGUGGUCAAUGUUUUGUAAUACCGUGACAUUUUCCAAUGCCAAAGUUUAUUUCCAACGAUCCAAAGCUUAUUUGCAUUGCACUUACGAGCGGUAGUGUGAUGUGUAGAACGUGUAGUAAGUAGGUACGAUUGGGAACCACUUACUCUGUAACCCAAAGUGGCAUGUUUGCAUAUAUGAGAAUGUUCAGUGUUCAUCGUCUUUAGAUAAUAAAAGCAUUGGCAUACCAGGAA